CGGACGGGUGAGUAACACGUGGAUAACCUACCUAUAAGACUGGGAUAACUUCGGGAAACCGGAGCUAAUACCAGAUAAUAUAUUGAACCGCAUGGUUCAAUAGUGAAAGACGGUUUUGCUGUCACUUAUAGAUGGAUCCGCGCCGCAUUAGCUAGUUGGUAAGGUAACGGCUUACCAAGGCAACGAUGCGUAGCCGACCUGAGAGGGUGAUCGGCCACACUGGAACUGAGACACGGUCCAG
rnacentral:rRNA from 1 species